rnacentral:rRNA from 1 species
GGACUACCGGGGUAUCUAAUCCUGUUUGCUACCCACGCUUUCGUGCCUGAGCGUCAGUUUUAUCCCAGGGGGCUGCCUUCGCCAUUGGUGUUCCUCCACAUAUCUACGCAUUUCACUGCUACACGUGGAAUUCCACCCCCCUCUGACAAACUCUAGAUAGACAGUUUUAAAUGCAGUUCCCAAGUUAAGCUCGGGGAUUUCACAUCUAACUUGACUAUCCGCCUGCGCACCCUUUACGCCCAGUAAUUCCGAUUAACGCUUGCACCCUACGUAUUACCGCGGCGGCUGGCAC